UACAGAGGUCCCAAGCGUUGUUCGGAUUCACUGGGCGUAAAGGGUGCGUAGGUGGCCAGGUAAGUUUGGUGUGAAAGCUCGGAGCUUAACUCCGAAAAGUCAUUGAAUACUAUCUGGCUGGAGGGUCGGAGGGGAGACUGGAAUUCUCGGUGUAGCAGUGAAAUGCGUAGAUAUCGAGAGGAACACCAGUGGCGAAGGCGAGUCUCUGGACGACUACUGACACUGAGGCACGAAAGCUAGGGGAGCAAACAGG
rnacentral:rRNA from 1 species